rnacentral:rRNA from 1 species
GGAAUGCUAAUACCGCAUACGUCCUACGGGAGAAAGCAGGGGAUCACUUGUGACCUUGCGCUAAUAGAUGAGCUUAAGUCGGAUUAGCUAGUUGGUGGGGUAAAGGCCUACCAAGGCGACGAUCUAUAGCGGGUCUGAGAGGAUGAUCCGCCACACUGGGACUGAGACACGGCCCAGACUCCUACGGGAGGCAGCAGUGGGGAAUAUUGGACAAUGGGGGGAACCCUGAUCCAGCCAUGCCGCGUGUGUGAAGAAGGCCUUCUGGUUGUAAAGCACUUUAAGCGAGGAGGAGGCUACUCUAGUUAAUACCUAGGGAUAGUGGACGUUACUCGCAGAAUAAGCACCGGCUAACUCUGUGCCAGCAGCCGCGGUAAUACAGAGGGUGCGAGCGUUAAUCGGAUUUACUGGGCGUAAAGCGUGCGUAGGUGGCCAAUUAAGUCAAAUGUGAAAUCCCCGAGCUUAACUUGGGAAUUGCAUUCGAUACCGGUUGGCUAGAGUAUGGGAGAGGAUGGUAGAAUUCCAGGUGUAGCGGUGAAAUGCGUAGAGAUCUGGAGGAAUACCGAUGGCGAAGGCAGCCAUCUGGCCUAAUACUGACACUGAGGUACGAAAGCAUGGGGGGCAAACAGGAUUAGAUACCCUGGUAGUCCAUGCCGUAAACGAUGUCUACUAGCCGUUGGGGUCUUUGAGACUUUAGUGGCGCAGCUAACGCGAUAAGUAG